GGUCACGAAGACCGAAGACACGAAGUCACGAACAGAAUUCACAGGUCCUUGAGUCCUUCGCUGAUUUGCUGCAUCUCGCACAUCGUAGGAGGAUUACAAUCGAAGUCACAAAACUCACGAACUCACAAAGAUUCGCAGAAGGAUUAUUGGAUUAACUCACAGAUUCCGGCAUUCCGCAUUCGGCAAUCGGCUCCGGCUGUCCGCCUCCUCUCAUCGGCCAUCGCAGAUUUGCAGGAGGUUGUUUGAAUUUUGAUACUUUCAUUAGUUUUCUACUCUUGAGUGUUGAUUAAUGAUUAUGAUGACGAAACCAAAAUUCAAAAAACAAGCUUUAAUUGGGAACUUUUUCUAAACUGAGUGGGCUGAACGCUGAAGUCGCUGAACAACAAGGAUACCAAGUCGCUGAACACGGGCUGAAGGUGUCGCUGAUGAUCAUUGAUCGCUGCUGAUUGCUGAAACAGUUCAGAACAAUAAUCAUCGAACAGGCUGAAGUCGCUACUGUUGUGCUGAUUGUGAGUU
rnacentral:lncRNA from 1 species